rnacentral:ribozyme from 1 species
AAAGGGAGAAAAAAGAAAGAAGAAAACAAAGCCACAGGAAGGAAAUAAUAGGGGUCAAUUCGUAUCUCUCUCUUCUUCUUCUUCUUCUUCUUCUUC